CCCAGCCUGACCACCCAGUGGGAGGAGGACCCGGGGACAGAAUGCAGUUGAUUUCAGCCAACACCUCUCAAACCUCACUUUUCCACGACUCUUCAGCCAUUUUACAAAAUAUCUGGCACGUACUUUUCAAAAAUGCUAAGAUGGCAAAAUACCAAGACUCGAGAACUGUUGCCAGUUAAAGGAGCUAAAGAGACGCGGCAACCGAAUGCAAAGUCAUGGAGUGCCAAGCAGUGCCAUGUCCACACCCGGGAUCCGAACCGGCGAACCCCGGGCUGCCGAGAAGCGGAACGUGCGCACUUAACCGCUGCACCACCGGGCCGGCCCCUCUUCCCCAUCUUUCUUGUGGUACAUUUCAUUUUUGAAAAUUAACUUUUUAUUUUAGAAUAGUUUAGAUUUAUAGAAAAAUUACAUAGAUCAUACAGACUUCUCCUACACCCCACACUGUGUCCCCUGUUAUUAACACCUUACAUUAGCGUGGCAAAUUUAUCGCAAUUAAUGAGCCGAUAUUGAUAUAUUACUGUUAGCAGAAGUCCAUAUGCUAUUCAGAUCUCU
rnacentral:lncRNA from 1 species